GGCAAGGUCCUUGAUUUUUCUAAAAGAAACAAGAAAGGGAAAAGAAAAAAUGGAACGGUUGAAUUAUCGAAUCGAUAUAAAGGAAAUACUAUAAUUUUAACGAGAGAUUGCGCCACUCUGUAUACUUUUCGUGACUCUUGUGAAUUUCCGACGAUUCUUCGUACCGCUUGACAAACAACGCCAGUACCUUUGUGUGCCAACGUCUCGACGGAGCCCAAAUAACCUAAAAGGUAUCGUUCCCUUUUCACUUUUGGUGCCGAUGGAUCAAAAUCACUGUAAUCCAUGUCGACCGCAUAAGCCGAGGGGAAGAUACCUUGCCGACCUGUUCUCAGGUUCACACCUUCAAUGCGAUAAGUCGUCGGCCUCUUUUUGAACGUAAAUAGGAUCGCCAAUUUCAAGAUCGAUCUCAUCGUGGUGUCUUGGCACGAAUUUGUGCAAUCCUCGAUGCGUUGCCUCCAAUAGUUCCAGUUGAGUAAACGGUACACCGCCGCUUCCUUCGAAGCGACACGAGAGCAUUACGAUGAAAAUUACAAUGAAAAUUCAAGUUUGCCGUAAAACGAGAAAAAGUCACCUGGUGUACUACUCGGCGAGACAGAGUCCGUGUUCUGUAAUGUGUUACAAGGUAUCGGCGAUACACUUUUUGGCCCAUUUUCUGGCGAGUGAGCAGUGGAAUGGCCACUGUCGGUGGCCAUUCGCUCGCUGUCGGGCGAACUGUCCUCGUGACGGAGCCUUGAAUGACAUUUUCGUAAAACUAAAUGCGGUCGGCUGGAAUUAGAACCAGUUGCUGCGUUCAAUUCGUCUGCCAGAGACGACGAGGACUGCAUAGACGUUUGUCCAAUAGGGAACGAAUGAAACGAAUGACUACCUUCUUCUGAAACAACAACAACAAGAUGCUCGAAGAAAGCGUGAGAACUUUAUAUAUUCUGCUUCUGAAUGUAUAUAAAAAAAAUCAUUGCGUAAUCAUAACGCAUUUGAUACAUAUCAUUGUAUAACUACAAAUAUAACCAAUCGUAACUGCAUGUAAGUCAUGAUCAGAUGUAUGGAUCUCAAACAAGUGGUAUGACGUAAGUUAAAUGUCAUUAUGGAUUUUCUUUCGCUGCGGUCGUCGAUUCUGCGGUUAAAUAUGCGGUGAUUGUCAGUGAUCGGUGAAUCGCAAUAGAUGAUGAGAAGCUUAUAACGAUAUGAUAAAUAUUCACUCGUGAUAUGUUUGAUUGCAGACUUGGAUAUUUAAUUUGGAGCCUCGUUUUUCAAUCUUCAACAAUCCCUCUUCCUUUUACCAACCUUUCUCGAUAAAAGAUGCUGAAGAAAUCAUUUAUUUAUAUCAUUGUCUAUCAUAUUCUUUCUCGCGAGGAAAACACGAGGUAAAUGUAUAAUAAUAAUAAAGCUAUGAUGAACGAGUUUUCCAAUGAGCUAUCGCUUCUACUCUGUCUUACAAUAUACAUAACUUAAGAAGGAUUUGAUUUACUCGAAUUUAAGGGAUUUCCGGUAAUCUUCGACGUCUGCGCUCGGUGCUACCGCUUCCGGGACGAUUCGAGGGCACAUGUUCCGGUGUCGGCCAGGAACUCAAACUCGAACAGGAAUCCCCGACGUCGCUGACUACGCUAUCUCUACCACCGUUACCGGAUCCGGUAGUGCUACCUCCACCAGGACCCGGUCCACCGACGCCUGCUGAUCGACCCCUGCUGCUCAGUCCACCGAACAAGCUAAUGUCACCCAAGGGUAGUUGUGUAGUGAGCUAAGCUACCUUUCACCAUGCCAUUUAAAGUGUGUAGGUUGUACUUCUUUUUUUUUUUCUUUUUGUUUGUUUUGUUCUUGGAAUAUCCGCUACCACUACCAAGUUACACAAGAUCACAAUUGAGAACGGAUCACAAGGUUUGAUUUUAUUUUUUGAAAAGCAUCAAAUAGAAUUUCUUGAACGAAUAAUAAAUAUUUCUUUUUCUUUUCUUAGCAAAUUUAAUUCGAUCGAUAUAUACGAGGUUUUCGAAUUACAUCCGUCAUUAUAGGUUAUGUCGUGCAAUUUGUUCUCAAUGUUUCGACUAUAUAAAGGGAUUUUUACUUCUUCUGUAGAUGCAAGACACACAUGAUAUCGAACUAUCCUAGUUGUUUAAAUACAAUGGUGACGUGCAAAUUUGCCUGAACCAUAAUGCAUUUUUAAAAUGCGUAUAUCGAUAGAUAAAUGAAAAAGUAUCGAUAGCUUUUUUUUAAACGAAAUAGAGAACGUUUGGAAAUAAUUAUAACCUUCUAGAUCUAUGAAAGGAAAUUUGAGAAUGUUUCGUAUUGAUGUUAAAACGGGUACAUACUUCUUGCAUGCAAGUUAUGCUCAAAAAAAUAAAGGCCAAAGAAGAAGUAGGUUAACACUUACGAGGUUACCAACCUAAAGUCGCUAUCAGCUACAAUGGAACAAUUAUGAUCAAGAUCCUCGCUGUCAUCUCCAGAAGUAUGCCCGCUUUGGUUAUCGUGCCGAUGAAUGACCACCACUUCCUCAUCCUCGGAAUCGACAGCAACUCCGUCGCAAGAUCUCUCCACCUCCGCAUCGCUAUCCUGCGACGAGGUCGGCGAAUCGUCUAUCAUCACAUCGUGGACAAGCCUAUUUCGAAUGAUAAUUUGGAAAAUUAAUUAAUUAAUCGUUCAAAACGCAGAAAAAUUUAGGUAGAAAUUUUUUAACCGAGAUCGAUACGUCGUGUUUUGAUACAUCUUCUGUAAAAACGGUUUUAAAAGUCAAGUAUAUCCAAGUUGACAACGAAUUAUCAUAAAAUGUCACUCGUGAUAUAUUGUUGCAGACUUGGAUAUUUAAUUUGAAGCUUCAUUUUUUAAUCUUAUAUAUAAUCAAGAAAUACUUGAAUUCUAUUAACAGAAUCCGUAUUUCAGUUGCUUGAGAGAUGAAACAGUUUAUAAAUUUAAUUAUUCGUUGUAAUCAAACGAGAACAAAUAAUCGUUUGAAGAUUACAAACAAUUUAUUGUUGCAAAUGGAAGACGAAGGAUUAGAUAAUUAAAAAAUUGGGAUGCAUCCAUGAAUAGCCGUGUGUUUUAUUUGUUGAGCAAGUAAUUAAGACUGACAGAUAAAGUGAAAACGAUUUCACAUACGCGGCAGACUUCAAUCGAUUUUAUUUCGCACCGUUUUAAUGCACAUGUGCAUUCAUAAAUAAAGAAAAUUGUCAUCUA